rnacentral:rRNA from 1 species
CCUACGGGUGGCAGCAGUGGGGAAUAUUGCACAAUGGGCGCAAGCCUGAUGCAGCCAUGCCGCGUGUGUGAAGAAGGCCUUCGGGUUGUAAAGCACUUUCAGCGGGGAGGGAGGCGUUAAGGUUAAUAACCUUGUCGAUUGACGUUACCCGCAGAAGAAGCACCGGCUAACUCCGUGCCAGCAGCCGCGGUAAUACGGAGGGUGCAAGCGUUAAUCGGAAUUACUGGGCGUAAAGCGCACGCAGGCGGUCUGUCAAGUCGGAUGUGAAAUCCCCGGGCUCAACCUGGGAACUGCAUUCGAAACUGGCAGGCUAGAGUCUUGUAGAGGGGGGUAGAAUUCCAGGUGUAGCGGUGAAAUGCGUAGAGAUCUGGAGGAAUACCGGUGGCGAAGGCGGCCCCCUGGACAAAGACUGACGCUCAGGUGCGAAAGCGUGGGGAGCAAACAGGAUUAGAUACCCUUGUAGUC